CUCUGUGCCUGGUAUGGGACAUCUUGCUGCAAUCCUCCUGCUUUGGAUGUGCCAGUUAUGUAAACAGAGAGUGGGGAUAGGUGUAGCUUCCUCUGGACUGAAAGUGGUGCUGGCAGCAGAGAAAGACUUGGGCUGAAGUAAUUUCCUUUCAUUAGAAUAAAAAUCUGAAAAUAAAAGUCUGAACUGCAUCUAGAGUAUUUCUCCUGACUGCUGAGAAGAAAAGUUUCCAAGGGCUCAAGGUUUUUUUCAGCAGCACCCAGAAGUCUGGCACCUUACCCUAGCCUUAGUUUUGUGGUUUCCUUCCUCUGGUCCCCUUGGUUAUCUGCAUUGGCACAGAGCCCGGGUUCUGCUUCCCUUCCUCCCUGCACACCUUCGUGUCCCCAGCCACUGGAUCCUGCAAAGGCAAGUCUUAAUUCUUCACACUUCAUUUUUUGUCAUUUGCAGCUUCUCAGGGGCGCCCUUUGCAGGCUGCUGUGCUCAGCCCUCGCUGCUUUGCCUUCAGCUUGGCCUGUGGUUUUUGGUUUCCUCCCUUUUUUUUGUUGUUUUUUGCUUUUAUGGCUACUCUCAAGUGCUCGAAGAGCUGCUGACAGCCCAUGGAAAACUCAGCAAACAUUCCAUACAGACCACUUGCUUUACCAUCCUUUCCUGUGCCACGUUCAUUUUUACUGGGGAUGGCUGAGAAAGCAGGACUUUUGGGCUUUGACUGAUCUGCUUGUGCUGCUUUCAGACAACAUGCAGGUCUGGACCUACCUGCUCUUGCUGGGGCAGCAUUUCUGCUGCAUCUCACCCAGCCUUUUAGUUGGAUGACUGCUUCCAUUGGUUCCUCACCAAGAACUUGCUAUUCAAUCAGCUGUACAAGCCAAGCCCAACUGCUUCCAGCUUUCCCUGGUUCUCUUUCUCACCCCAGCUUAUCUAGACAGCUAAUCCCUGUCUUUAAAUUCAGCUGCUUCGUUUUUAUGGUUCCCACUGGCUAUUUGUUCCUUUUAUCCCUUGUUUUGAGAGGUCUGGCAGCAAAGCCUCAGAUGUUUCAUCACUCAGAUGAUUGAGGAUUUUGCCUGAUAGGUAAACAGUGAUUUUGUAGGGAGG
rnacentral:lncRNA from 1 species